ACCAAUGUGGCAUACUGGUUUGAGCACUGGACUAUGACUCUGGCAACCAGGGUUCGAAACCCUGCUUGGCCA